ensembl:lncRNA PVT1 Pvt1 oncogene
GCAGGGCUGGCAGGGAGGCUGGGAGGGGCUGGCUGGGUCUGGUAGUGGGCAUCAGCUGGCCCUCAUUUCUUAAGACAGCACUUCUGUUAGCUGACCUACACAGAAGCAGGUCAUUUCGAGAUGUUUGCGUCUUGGAGCCACUGAUAGAAGCAGGGCAAGGGAGAGUGAAUGAGGAAGGAAGGCGGGAGUGUGAUGACGCAUGCCCAGCUUUGCGCGGAGGCAGAGCACUUGCCUGUGUGGGGCCCUGCCCUUCUCUUGAGAGGCAGGCGGGCCCUAGCUGCAGCGUCAAGAAGGCUGACCUGUGUGGAUGCAUUAUCAGGGUGGAUGCAACACAGGGCUGCCAUGCUCUCUGGUAUCAGUUUGGAAGGCACUGGCAGGAUGGGAAGGCAGGCGGGGAGUGAGGUCAGGGGGCCUAUCCUUCCACUGCCUCCCUGCUGCUCCCUGACUGAUUCAGAGCCAGUCUUGGUGCUCUGUGUUCACCUGGUUCAUCUGAGGAGCUGCAUCUACCCUGCCCAUGCCAUAGAUCCUGCCCUGUUUGCUUCUCCUGUUGCUGCUAGUGGACAUGAGAUCUUGGACAUGAUACCUGGAUGUGCAGCAGCCAUCUGGUAAUUAUGAGGUGACAAGUCAAUAGACUGAGAUGGUGGAGCAGCAAAGAUAGAAAAGAAGGACAGAAUAACGGGCUCCCAGAUUCACAAGCCCCACCAAGAGGAUCACCCCAGGAACGCUUGGAGGCUGAGGAGUUCACUGAGGCUACUGCAUCUUGAGACUCAGGAUGAAGACCCAGCUUGGGGCUGUCAAAGGUGCGACCUGCCAGCUGAGACCUCCAGGGGUCGAGCCCAGGCCCCUUUGCCUUGUUCAUGGCUUAGGCCAGUGCUUAGCAUAUAGUAAACAACUUGUAAAUGUUUAUUA